GGGGGCUGCACCCCUGUGUUUGGGGUCGGUCCCGCCGCCUCCUUGGGAAACAGACCGCGCGGCGCGGUGCGUCCGCCUCCAGGCCGGCACUCAUCAGCUUCUCUUAUGCUGUGACAAGACAGGCUUAAUUGCUGAAGGUCUCUAAAGAGGAGAGGAAAUCCGGACCGUAAGGCGUAAACUAAACUGGACAACAAAAGGAUGCCAGGAAGCAAACUUGUAAGAGUUCAUGAAUCUUGCUUUCCAUCCUUGCUGACUUCUGAACUGGUGCUCCUUCUUCCCCGCCACUGUGCACAUGCUGGAGCAAGCUAUGUCUUCCCAGUGCCUUCAGCCCACUGCCAUGUAGCUCAUGCUGUCUGUCCAGUAGAAAGAAAACAGAUCAGGAACCACACAGCCUUCUGCUAUCUCCUUCCAAGUCUAUUAAAAUUAUUAAUAAUGUUUUGAUUUCAUAGCCUCACAGAUGAGGAGGAGAUUGUUUCUUCUCUUGCGUUGCUCUGAAGACAUUUAAAUCUGGACUUGGAUCUAUCGUUUUCGUAUCCUAUCUUUUGGGGAAAAUGCUGGCAGCCUUUCAGUCCACUGUGGGUAAAAUUACAGGUUUUCACUUUCUUAAAAGUGAAAGUUGGUUAUGAUUUCUGGUAUUUAUCUGUUAGAUGUACAACUGGUAGAAUUCUGCCAUUCCUAUGAUAGAAAUUAUUAAAGGAAGAAAAAGUUGAAGAAAUUAUUAAAGGAAGAAAAAGGGGAGACCUGGGCAUAAUGAAAUAUGCUUAAUGAUACCUGGGGGCCGUUUACUAGGAAGUUGUUUCAAUUUGGUACACUACUUUUCUAGAAUGUAGUCAUUAAGGCUUGUAGGUCACAAGUUAUAACCGAUCAAUCCAGAUAAUGCUGUGGGUGUGUCUACACUAGGAGUUUGGUGUCCAUCAUGGGUUGGUUUUUAGGUGCAUCCUGUCCGUGCACUUACAUUAGAACUGAUAGAACAAUUAAUAGCUUAGGAGUCUGGUGUUAAGAAGGCUUCUAUGAAUGAAUCACCAAUUAAAGUCUGGCUAAGUACUAAAGCAAUUGAAAAUUAUCUUGUGAUUGAUGCUUUGUUUCUUGUGUGAAGUCAGAUCUGUUUGCUUUCUGGUGGAUAUAAGGAACUACUCUUAGAAGAACUAUCAUUACAAUUGACAACAUGUCUGAAGGAACAGAAGACCAGGUUUACAAAGUGACAGAGGCCGACUCCAGAAUAUGUCUGCCUUGGAAGUGAUGCCUGUAUAUAAAGACAGAGGUAUGCUGGAAAAGAAUAGCUCCUGUUCACACUGCUUUAAAAUAAACUUAACAAUAAUUAUUGAAUUUGAUAACAUAUACAGACAUACAAACUUACAUAAAGUCAAUAAAAAUAGUUGUGUAAAAUACAUAGAUUUUCAUAAGGGGCAAAAUCCCUAAGUACUUUUGCAUUUCAAUUGCAUGUCAACAUUUCAUACAGCUAUUGGGAAAGAAAGUCUAAAGUUUUGUCUAAACUUUGGGAUUAAAUGCUACUGAUUUGAACCCACAAUCACUUUUCAAGAUUUGAAGAUUCCUCUUGCUUGGACGUGGGCAAGAACCCCUUCUAAAGCCCACAUUUGCCCUAAAGCUAAUGCAAUCUGAUACAGUUACCACCAUGUUACAGAUAAAGCUGCUGUUGCAUAAACAUCAUAGAACUGGGCUCCGCUCUAUAGUUCUGAAGCUAUUAGUAUUACAGCUGGAACCUCAGAUUAAUUUUGCCAUUGCUGUAUGAGUACUGGUUUCUUCUACCUUUUGGACUACUUGGGUUACUAUCACAGAGUUUUCUGUCUUUUUUUAACCACAUUCUUUAUCAGACCACUGUAAUACAAGAGGUUGUUCUAUCUACCCCACAGACAGAAGCUUAACUAUUUGAAAAAGAUUAACAUGAGCAAGAUAAUAAAAAAUAAAUUCCUCUGGCACUGUGCUGAAAAA